GUCAUUUAGUCACAAAAGCACAUGUUUAAAAAUAUUUAGUAACAUGGGAGAAACACUACAAAUAUGUGAGGAAGCAAGUUAUAAAAAUAUACCAAGAUUGGGAAAUAUAUUUAAAUAUAAACAGUUUUUAUCUCUGAGUGUGAAACUACAUCAAAAUAACUUCUGUUUCUUUCUCUUCCAAUUUAUCCUAAGUGACCACGUGCUGCUAUUAUAAAACAAAAUAAAUAUGUACUAUAUAUAGUAUUAUAGAACUAUAAUACUAUAUUGAAUAAAUAAGUUAAAUGUUGUUGAAACUGGCAAUUUAAGUAAUUCAUAAUCACUCCUUUUAUCUGUUAAAAUGUAUGUUUCAAUUCCUCUAAGCAAUCUUCAAGAAUGGAAAAUUUUGAUAUACAUUCAACCAUAUUUUGGAAAUUCUCCAGCAGUGUUUGAGGUAAAUAUCCCACCUGGAUAUAGGGGAUUUGGUUAAUAGAAACUGGGCAAAUUAAUAGAGGAUUUCACACCCUGAGAGAAUUAAAGGAUAUUUAAAAGGCAACAAAAGCUACGUUUCUGCAAAACAAAGUCAAGUACCUUGUUCAAAAGGGCAUUUACUCUAAUUCAUACCCAAGCCUUGGGAUAGAUUCACAUUCUCAUUCACUGCUCCCAGUAUCUAGGGCACUUUCCAAACACCAGGGGUGCCAUGGUGGUGUGUGUAAUAAUAGAUAGCAAAACGAAGAUGGAGCUCACUCCGGAAAUUAUGAGGGGAAUUCAGCAAAAUAAAUAAAGGCUAUGAAGGCAAUGACCAUAACCUAUUAAAUGCUGGUCACCUCCUGUUUUCUCCUCCUAUCACUCCCCUGAGGUUCUUAACAAAGUACUUCCGACAACAGGUAAUAUUACAUUCAGCCGUGUAACCAACUGCAGAAUUUCUGAUUAGCAGGGAUCACAGUAUGUUUUCAUUUGCAAGAACCAAUCCUUUAAUCCUCAACACAGAAAAUGAGGCACACACUAUGACAGACCCAGAUCAGAGUGACAACUUUUCUUGCUUAUAAAUAAAUAGCAGGGAAAUCUAGCUUGAUUUCAAGAGAUCGUGCUUUGAGGCUCAGUAUUGCAGCUGGACCAUGAAGGUGCUGAGAAGAACGAACUCUCAAUUCUUUCCCCUGAGUGUUUCCCGGGUGAAAUGUGUGGAUUCCUGGGUUGCUCAAAGAGUGUAUGAAUGAAAGAGAAAGUAUUGCCCAUUGUUUGCUCCAUCAGAACCAUGGACUUGCCUCUCCCAGGACUGGGAUUAAUCACUGUGCCCCUUUAUAAGAAGCAUGCUUCAGGAAAUGAGCAGAGCAUGAAAUGGAGUAGCUGGAAAAUGGUCUAACCUCAAGGUACCAACAGAUCAAAUAAAUAUUCUCUGUCCCCAAACAAAAGGAACAAUAUUUUCCCUCAUUCUUCCUCGGCCAUUACCAGUCAGAAAUCAUGGGACUGGGGUUGGAUUGCUUCGUGAUCUGUCGAAAGAAACUAAAAAUAAAAUCAUUCCACAUUAUGGGAACACUUGAGUUGCAUUUUCAUACAACUUUCCCAAAUUGCAAGACUUCUGCCAUGUAAGAAACACUUACUAAUUUACCAAGGCCUCAGAGGCCUGGAAUGCAUAAUGGCCCAUUCAAACCAGAAGUCAACAUUUAGAUUGGUGGUUCAAGUAAGUGCCAACUCAGACUAGAAGGCAUAAUAUCUUCCAUCAUAAAGGCCAUAAAAAGUCAUAUACAUUGCUCAUAAAUAUGAGAUGGACCAAGAUUGACUCUGAGGUCUAAAAGCUAUGAUCUCUUGCAAUUUGUUUUUCACUUUUAGUAAAUAAAAAUACAAUGUAUACUAGGUGAACAGAGUAUACAGCCUCUAAAAUGCCAUCUUUAUUUUUUUCAACAUUGUCUUGGCAUACUUUUAUAGUUCGGUUUGAACAUCAUCCAGUGUACAGAAACUGAAAUGGAUUAAGGUCUGACAAAUAGGAAGCUAGAGGGGGAAUAAAAGAAUCGCCCUGAACAAGAAAAAUAAUCAAAGACACAGAGGGUGGGAAAAGGAUCUGUUUUCUAUCUCCAGUGGAAUCAGAUAAAGAGAAAAGAGUUUAACUGGCAAAAGAAAAGUUUAAUUUAGACAUCUUGAAGAUCCUCCUGUUCCGUCAGCUGCCGAGAAUAUCCAACUUUUAAUAGGAGCUAAAUGCUUUAGCUGCAACACAGGUAUGAAUUCCACCAUCACAAAUUCGUGUCAGCAGAAAAUGUGAUUUUCUUUAUAGCCGUAAUUGUCAGAUCUCUGAUCCGAGCUCCCAACCUACUUCAGGCAAGCAACUUAAUAGUGUCAUUUCUGAUUAUUUUUCAUUCUAAUGCAGUGAUUUGUUGGUCAGUUCAUACCUAGAGGGUCAGAAAUCCUGUGGUUCAGUCUUCCUUUCAGGGUUUCUCUCUGUCUCCUGCCAUGCAAAAGCUUUCAAAUGCUUGGAAUGUUCUCUGAGACUCCCAUGUGCAUCCAAAGGUCAAGGAAUUGACAUUUCAAUAUCAGCAACAUGACUUUGGAACCUUGUCAAUAAAUUCUUUUUCUACUGCUUGGCCCACAAAGCUGUUUGUAUGGUUGUUUCACCCUCAGAGUCCAGCAGU
rnacentral:lncRNA from 10 species